rnacentral:rRNA from 1 species
GACGAACGCUGGCGGCGCGCUUAACACAUGCAAGUCGAGCGAGAACCGGGGCUUCGGCCCCGGGGACAGCGGCGAACGGGUGAGUAACACGUGGGUAACCUACCCUCGGCACCGGGAUAGCCCGGGGAAACUCGGAUUAAUACCGGAUGGCCCCUCCGACCUUCGGGUCGACCGGGAAAGGUAGCUUCGGCCUCCGGCCGAGGAUGGGCCCGCGGCGGAUUAGCUUGUUGGUGGGGUAACGGCCCACCAAGGCUCCGAUCCGUAGCUGGUCUGAGAGGACGAUCAGCCACACUGGGACUGAGACACGGCCCAGACUCCUACGGGAGGCAGCAGUGGGGAAUCUUGCGCAAUGGGCGAAAGCCUGACGCAGCGACGCCGCGUGAGGGAAGAAGGCCUUCGGGUUGUAAACCUCUUUCAGGAGGGACGAAGCUACUCGGGUGAAUAGCCCAGAGGGUGACGGUACCUUCAGAAGAAGCCCCGGCUAACUACGUGCCAGCAGCCGCGGUAAUACGUAGGGGGCAAGCGUUGUCCGGAUUUACUGGGCGUAAAGAGCGUGUAGGCGGCCAAGCAGGUCUGUUGUGAAAACUGGAGGCUUAACCUCCAGACGUCGACAGAAACCGCUUGGCUAGAGUCCGGAAGAGGAGAGUGGAAUUCCUGGUGUAGCGGUGAAAUGCGCAGAUAUCAGGAAGAACACCAAUGGCGAAGGCAGCUCUCUGGGACGGUACUGACGCUGAGACGCGAAAGCGUGGGGAGCGAACAGGAUUAGAUACCCUGGUAGUCCACGCCGUAAACGAUGGGUGCUAGGUGUGGGAGGUGUCGACUCCUUCCGUGCCGCAGCUAACGCAUUAAGCACCCCGCCUGGGGAGUACGGCCGCAAGGCUA